GGGUCUGUAGCUCAAUUGGUAGAGCAGCCGGUUUUUACCCGGUCGAUGCGGGUUCGAGACCCGACGGACCCACCA
rnacentral:tRNA from 1 species